AGCAAAGCCUCUCCAUGGC
rnacentral:misc_RNA from 1 species